rnacentral:rRNA from 1 species
CGGGACGGGUGGGUAAUGUCUGGGAAACGUGCCUGAUGAGGGGGAGUAACUACUGGAAACGGUAGCUAAUACCGCAUAACGUCGCAAGACCAAAGAGGGGGACCUUAGGGCCUCUUGCCAUCGGAUGUGCCCAGAUGGGAUUAGCUAGUAGGUGGGGUAAAGGCUCACCUAGGCGACGAUCCCUAGCUGGUCUGAGAGGAUGACCAGCCACACUGGAACUGAGACACGGUCCAG